rnacentral:rRNA from 1 species
AAGCAUAUCAAUAAGCGGAGGAAAAGAAACCAACUGGGAUUGCCUUAGUAACGGCGAGUGAAGCGGCAAUAGCUCAAAUUUGAAAGCUGGCCCCUUUGGGGUCCGCGUUGUAAUUUGUAGAGGAUGAUUCGGCGAGGGCUCCCGUCUAAGUCCCCUGGAACGGGGCGUCAUAGAGGGUGAGAAUCCCGUAUGUGAUGGGUUGCCUUAGCCAUGUGAAUCUCCUUCGACGAGUCGAGUUGUUUGGGAAUGCAGCUCUAAAUGGGAGGUAAAUUUCUUCUAAAGCUAAAUACCGGCCAGAGACCGAUAGCGCACAAGUAGAGUGAUCGAAAGAUGAAAAGCACUUUGGAAAGAGAGUUAAAAAGUACGUGAAAUUGUUGAAAGGGAAGCGCUUGCAGCCAGACUUGUCCGCAGUUGCUCAGCCGGUCUCCUGACCGGCGUACUCUUCUGCGGCCAGGCCAGCAUCAGUUCGGGCGGUCGGAUAAAGACCCCAGGAAUGUAGCUCCUCUCGGGGAGUGUUAUAGCCUGGGGUGGAAUGCGGCCAGCCUGGACUGAGGAUCUCGCUUCGGCUAGGAUGCUGGCGUAAUGGCUGUAAGCGGCCCG